UGCAAUUAUAUUUAUAAUCGAAUUUGUCCACAUUAUAGAAAUUGUUAAUUAAUAUGAUUAUGUAUGAUAUCAAGGCAGUCGGAUACUUUUUAGUAUUUAAUCGGAGAAGAUAUAUGUAGAAAAAAUUUGAGAAAAAAUGAGCAGGGAGCACUCGAUUACAACUCGAAAAGACUUUUUCUCUUCCUGUAGUCCGUUAUAACAACGUCGACGUCGCCGAUCCAAGUCGACCUUCACCGUCGCCGAUCCGAGUUCCGAUCACGGAGUUAGCCGGAAGAGGUGUGUUCAAGCUCAUCGUCUCUUUCUCUCUCUACAACUGCAGCCAAGAAUGUGAGAAACAAUAUAAGGUGGCUCAGUGGGGACAAUUGCUUGUGGCAUUGAACGAUGACAGUAACAGGAAGAAUUUGUCAGAUGCUUUGUUUCUCCAGCUUUGGUCUAUGAUAUUAGUAAGAGAUAUGAGUUUGAAGCUCAAAGUUGAAGCUUUUGAUGUCUUUGGGGAGAGUAUUGUGUCUGGGAGAUUCUGUUACAAACCUUAUCAAUGAAGCUCCUUUCUGUCAGCCUUCAGGGGAGCAAGCCUACAUUGCAGCUGCAUGGUUUGAAAGAAAAGACCUAUUCUGGGCUGUGCUCUACAAAGCCAUCUGACAUACCAGCAUCAAAUUCUUUUGGAGUUUCUGUGCGUGGGCUGGAUGAUGAAUUCAGUGAGGCGAGUUUCAUAAUUUUUGUUUUCGGUUUUGAUAAUCGUAUAUAAUAUCCCUUUUAGAGGGUGGAAACUGAUCUCUGAGCUUCAUCCAUUGAUUUGUGUGGAAGGAUAAGAGAAAUACUCCGAUGGGCAUUCUAAGUGGACCUGUGCAUAGAGUUCUUUUUUGAUUAGUUGCCUGUUUCUUUUUGCCUUUCAGAGGCAGUGUGGUGUAGGUUUUUCCAAACUUUUAGAUUGAGGCUUUGACUUUUAAUAUGUAAUAGGUACGAAGGCCAGCCUUUCAUUCCUUUCAUACAUUGAGCAUACUUUUGGCUGAUUUUUCUGGUGAAGCCGUAUAUUUAUUGGUGGAUGUGCUGAAUGAUGAUUCAAUGGUUGUCCGCUUACAGGCUUUGGAGACAUUGCGUUGUAUGGCACUAUUUAACCGCCUAGAGGUGCAAGAAACAAACAUGCACAUGGUAGGUAUCUGAUCCCUGUUAAUACCAACAAACUGGAAAUGAAAAUCACAGGUGGUGAAAUUGUUUAAUGGGUCAGCUCUGCAUGUGGUGUUUUAGUGCUACAUGUCUCCCAUAAUCCAGCAUGGUCAAGCCAUUCGAAUGUCUCAUUGACAAGAUCUCUCAGUUUUUUGGUCGAACCCUCCAAGAAUAUGUAGCCCUGCAUGACUGGAUCCCAAUUGGAUACUCUCUGAUCCAGUUUGUUAUCGAAGCUUCUCGGGAUGCUAGUGGAUUAUGCUGCAGCAAGGGCACUACUUUGAGUAAUAAAGCUGGAAUAAGAUUAUCCCAACUAAAGUUGUGUUGUUAAGGGGAGACAUGGCUGGGGAUUUGGUCUGUCCAGUGUGUGGGCAAAGCGAGGAAACUGUUGAGCAUUUAUUCUUUGAAUGUGACUCUGCGCGUUGAUUGUGGAGGGCGUCUUGUUUGGGUUUGGAUUUUACAGUAGGGAAUCCUGUUCCGUUUAAGGAGUGGUUGCAGGAAUGGUUUCGAGGGGCACCAGAUAGGAGCAUUGUUACUGAAGGGAUUUGUGUGUGAUGGGCUAUUUGGCGUGCUCGGAAUAGAUUGGUGUUUGAAGGAGUUAGUGAUGGUGUGGUGUAGGGUCUUCAAGUUGUGUUUUCUUUGAGAAACAGUAUUCGGUCUUGUUGGGAGAGGGACAGGAAGGCUGAGAUCGAAGGUCAAAAUGGGUUGCCUACCAAUCAGUUUGUCUGGGGUCGUUACAGUCAAGAAGUUCAUGGGUGGAUUCCUAAGUUUUUGGCAGAUGGAGCAUGGUGCAGUCAGUCAUGGAGAGGAGUUGUGGCUUGGGUUUCUUUGUCAGCUUUGUCCUUUGUUCAGGAGAAGAAUGUCAGGAGUGUGUGCGCAUCUUCAGCCUUAAUGGUGGAAGCUUGACCUCUGAUUGUGUUACGCUGGGCACAUGGAAAAAGAUUCAGCAAAUUGGAAGUGCUAACGGAUUGCUUAGUGCUGGUUCAGGCUUUGCGGUGUAUGGAGCGUGAUGUUUUUGUCAAACCUGUAAUUAGGGAUAUUCUAGGUUUGGUGCAGAACUUUGAUUAUCCGGCAAUCACUUGAGUUCCUAGGAAUGCUGCAAGGAUUGCCUAUAAUCUUGCUAAGUCUGUAAUGUAUUAGUGAUUAUAUUUAUAGAUAUGUUUCCGUUUCCUCAAAAAAAAAAUAAUAAUAAAGCUGGAGGAUGUGGCUAUAUUUAAGUCAUCUGUUGAUGGCCUUCUA